AUUGAACGCUAGCGGCAGGCCUAACACAUGCAAGUCGAGGGGCAGCACAGGUAGCAAUACUGGGUGGCGACCGGCGGAUGGGUGCGUAACGCGUAUGCAACCUACCAUUGAUUGGGGCAUAGCCCGAAGAAAUUCGGAUUAAUACUCCAUAAUAUUCAUCAAAGGCAUCUUUUAUGAAUUAAAGCUUUUGCGAUCAAUGAUGGGCAUGCGUGACAUUAGUUAGUUGGUGAGGUAACGGCUCACCAAAACGAUGAUGUCUAGGGGUUCUGAGAGGAUUAUCCCCCAACUGGUACUGAGACACGGACCAGACUCCUACGGGAGGCAGCAGUGAGGAAUAUUGGUCAAUGGACGCAAGUCUGAACCAGCCAUGCCGCGUGCAGGAUGACGGCCCUAUGGGUUGUAAACUGCUUUUCCACGGGAAGAACCCUCCGACGUGUCGGAGACUGACGGUACCGUGGGAAUAAGCAUCGGCUAACUCCGUG
rnacentral:rRNA from 1 species